GAUGAACGCUGGCGGCGUGCCUAAUACAUGCAAGUCGAGCGAACGGACGAGAAGCUUGCUUCUCUGAUGUUAGCGGCGGACGGGUGAGUAACACGUGGAUAACCUACCUAUAAGACUGGGAUAACUUCGGGAAACCGGAGCUAAUACCGGAUAAUAUUUUGAACCGCAUGGUUCAAAAGUGAAAGACGGUCUUGCUGUCACUUAUAGAUGGAUCCGCGCUGCAUUAGCUAGUUGGUAAGGUAACGGCUUACCAAGGCAACGAUGCAUAGCCGACCUGAGAGGGUGAUCGGCCACACUGGAACUGAGACGCGGUCCAGACUCCUACGGGAGGCAGCAGUAGGGAAUUUUCCGCAAUGGGCGAAAGCCUGACGGAGCAACGCCGCGUGAGUGAUGAAGGUCUUCGGAUCGUAAAACUCUGUUAUUAGGGAAGAACAUAUGUGUAAGUAACUGUGCACAUCUUGACGGUACCUAAUCAGAAAGCCACGGCUAACUACGUG
rnacentral:rRNA from 1 species